rnacentral:rRNA from 1 species
UGCAAGUCGAACGCGUUGGCCCAAUUGAUUGAUGGUGCUUGCACCUGAUUGAUUUUGGUCGCCAACGAGUGGCGGACGGGUGAGUAACACGUAGGUAACCUGCCCAGAAGCGGGGGACAACAUUUGGAAACAGAUGCUAAUACCGCAUAACAGCGUUGUUCGCAUGAACAACGCUUAAAAGAUGGCUUCUCGCUAUCACUUCUGGAUGGACCUGCGGUGCAUUAGCUUGUUGGUGGGGUAACGGCCUACCAAGGCGAUGAUGCAUAGCCGAGUUGAGAGACUGAUCGGCCACAAUGGGACUGAGACACGGCCCAUACUCCUACGGGAGGCAGCAGUAGGGAAUCUUCCACAAUGGGCGCAAGCCUGAUGGAGCAACACCGCGUGAGUGAAGAAGGGUUUCGGCUCGUAAAGCUCUGUUGUUAAAGAAGAACACGUAUGAGAGUAACUGUUCAUACGUUGACGGUAUUUAACCAGAAAGUCACGGCUAACUACGUGCCAGCAGCCGCGGUAAUACGUAGGUGGCAAGCGUUAUCCGGAUUUAUUGGGCGUAAAGAGAGUGCAGGCGGUUUUCUAAGUCUGAUGUGAAAGCCUUCGGCUUAACCGGAGAAGUGCAUCGGAAACUGGAUAACUUGAGUGCAGAAGAGGGUAGUGGAACUCCAUGUGUAGCGGUGGAAUGCGUAGAUAUAUGGAAGAACACCAGUGGCGAAGGCGGCUACCUGGUCUGCAACUGACGCUGAGACUCGAAAGCAUGGGUAGCGAACAGGAUUAGAUACCCUGGUAGUCCAUGCCGUAAACGAUGAGUGCUAGGUGUUGGAGGGUUUCCGCCCUUCAGUGCCGGAGCUAACGCAUUAAGCACUCCGCCUGGGGAGUACGACCGCAAGGUUGAAACUCAAAGGAAUUGACGGGGGCCCGCACAAGCGGUGGAGCAUGUGGUUUAAUUCGAAGCUACGCGAAGAACCUUACCAGGUCUUGACAUCUUGCGCCAACCCUAGAGAUAGGGCGUUUCCUUCGGGAACGCAAUGACAGGUGGUGCAUGGUCGUCGUCAGCUCGUGUCGUGAGAUGUUGGGUUAAGUCCCGCAACGAGCGCAACCCUUGUUACUAGUUGCCAGCAUUAAGUUGGGCACUCUAGUGAGACUGCCGGUGACAAACCGGAGGAAGGUGGGGACGACGUCAGAUCAUCAUGCCCCUUAUGACCUGGGCUACACACGUGCUACAAUGGACGGUACAACGAGUCGCGAACUCGCGAGGGCAAGCAAAUCUCUUAAAACCGUUCUCAGUUCGGACUGCAGGCUGCAACUCGCCUGCACGAAGUCGGAAUCGCUAGUAAUCGCGGAUCAGCAUGCCGCGGUGAAUACGUUCCCGGGCCUUGUACACACCGCCCGUCACACCAUGAGAGUUUGUAACACCCAAAGUCGGCUGGGGUAACCUUUUAGGAGCCAGCCGCCU